rnacentral:rRNA from 1 species
AACGAACGCUGGCGGCAUGCCUAACACAUGCAAGUCGAACGAGACCUUCGGGUCUAGUGGCGCACGGGUGCGUAACGCGUGGGAACCUGCCCUUAGGUUCGGAAUAACUCCCCGAAAGGGGUGCUAAUACCGGAUAAUGUCUUCGGACCAAAGAUUUAUCGCCUUUGGAUGGGCCCGCGUUGGAUUAGCUAGUUGGUAGGGUAAAAGCCUACCAAGGCGACGAUCCAUAGCUGGUCUGAGAGGAUGAUCAGCCACACUGGGACUGAGACACGGCCCAGACUCCUACGAGAGGCAGCAGUGGGGAAUAUUGGACAAUGGGCGAAAGCCUGAUCCAGCAAUGCCGCGUGAGUGAUGAAGGCCUUAGAGUUGUAAAGCUCUUUUACCCGGGAUGAUAAUGACAGUACCGGGAGAAUAAGCUCCGGCUAACUCCGU